rnacentral:rRNA from 1 species
UACGUAGGGGGCUAGCGUUGUUCGGAAUCACUGGGCGUAAAGCGCUCGUAGGCGGAUUUGUAAGUCAGGGGUGAAAUCCCGAGGCUCAACCUCGGAACUGCCUUUGAUACUGCAAAUCUCGAGUCCGGAAGAGGUGAGUGGAAUUCCUAGUGUAGAGGUGAAAUUCGUAGAUAUUAGGAAGAACACCAGUGGCGAAGGCGGCUCACUGGGCCGGUACUGACGCUGAGGUGCGAAAGCGUGGGGAGCAAACAGG